rnacentral:misc_RNA from 1 species
AAGUCGUAACAAGGUUUCCGUAGGUGAACCUGCGGAAGGAUCAUUAACACGUAUCCAACGGUAAACAACCCUGUGAACCUUGAACGUGCUCUCGCACACGCUCUAGCAGCAAUCCCUGGUAAAUCAUUGUUGACCAGCUAUUGAGUCAGGGCCCUCUGCUUUAAAACGAUGCAAUACGAGCGCCAGAGUAAGUGCGGCCUCAGUGGUUGCGCAACACACGGCCGGCGACCGGGCCUCUGUGCUUCGGCACCUAACGACCCCAUGUUUCGUACCCGGUGCGCUGUAACAACCGCACCACAAACUCGAACAACUGUUAACAAUGGUUCUCUUGGUUCUC